UGCAGUCGAGCGAAUGGAUUAAGAGCUUGCUCUUAUGAAGUUAGCGGCGGACGGGUGAGUAACACGUGGGUAACCUGCCCAUAAGACUGGGAUAACUCCGGGAAACCGGGGCUAAUACCGGAUAACAUUUUGAACCGCAUGGUUCGAAAUUGAAAGGCGGCUUCGGCUGUCACUUAUGGAUGGACCCGCGUCGCAUUAGCUAGUUGGUGAGGUAACGGCUCACCAAGGCAACGAUGCGUAGCCGACCUGAGAGGGUGAUCGGCCACACUGGGACUGAGACACGGCCCAGACUCCUACGGGAGGCAGCAGUAGGGAAUCUUCCGCAAUGGACGAAAGUCUGACGGAGCAACGCCGCGUGAGUGAUGAAGGCUUUCGGGUCGUAAAACUCUGUUGUUAGGGAAGAACAAGUGCUAGUUGAAUAAGCUGGCACCUUGACGGUACCUAACCAGAAAGCCACGGCUAACUACGUGCCAGCAGCCGCGGUAAUACGUAGGUGGCAAGCGUUAUCCGGAAUUAUUGGGCGUAAAGCGCGCGCAGGUGGUUUCUUAAGUCUGAUGUGAAAGCCCACGGCUCAACCGUGGAGGGUCAUUGGAAACUGGGAGACUUGAGUGCAGAAGAGGAAAGUGGAAUUCCAUGUGUAGCGGUGAAAUGCGUAGAGAUAUGGAGGAACACCAGUGGCGAAAGGCGACUUUCUGGUCUGUAACUGACACUGAGGCGCGAAAGCGU
rnacentral:rRNA from 2 species